AAAUUUUUAUCUUAGCCUCUGCGAUCCAUCUCUUCCUUGGCAGGGGACGGAAGCAGAAAGCGAAUAUAGAGGUGGUGUAGAGCGUCCGGUUUGCAUAUUCCAUGUGGACCUCUGGCCUCACUGGGACCGUCCGUGAAUCCACGGUUGAGUCCGUUGGUGUAGAUGCCAGUGUUGCAUUCCGGUCCGUUGAUUACGCAGCCCCUUGUUAAGCAGAAGCGGAUCCUGUGGCGCAUAUGAUGCGUGUAGCCCCUACACGGGAGAUACUUGUGGAGGAGGAGGGGGAGUGUGUGGUGAGGAUUCAUGCGGUAGUAGGUUUGCGUACGUGUGCGUGUAGGGGAAGAGGAGGUAGUGCGGUGAGGGGUGAAUGAUGGCCUGCGGUGGUUUACCUUUGUAUUAUUGAUUAAGGAGGCUGCCGACCCAGAUGCCAGAUCAGGUCAGAGUUGACGUGCAUCACAUGCCAACGACUGUCUGCUGUGGUUUAAGGCGCUGUGAGGAAGAAAGCUUAACGAUUGCCACACAUUAGCGUGAGGUGGAGCUGAUGUGCGCAUACUUGGGCAGACACCAUUUGGUGGCGAUAUUUGCUACGCCGAGGAUCGAAGCCGGGCAGCCUCCAGCCGGGGGCAGCUCCGAGUUUAUGCCGUUCCAGCACCUGUUGUAUGGCGUCGCG
rnacentral:lncRNA from 1 species